AUUGAACGCUGGCGGAAUGCUUUACACAUGCAAGUCGAACGGCAGCACGGGGGCAACCUGGUGGCGAGUGGCGAACGGGUGAGUAAUACAUCGGAACGUGCCCAAUCGGUGGGGGAUAACGUAGCGAAAGUUACGCUAAUACCGCAUACGAUCUACGGAUGAAAGCGGGGGAUCGCAAGACCUCGCGCGAUUGGAGCGGCCGAUGUCAGAUUAGGUAGUUGGUGGGGUAAAGGCUCACCAAGCCGACGAUCUGUAGCUGGUCUGAGAGGACGACCAGCCACACUGGGACUGAGACACGGCCCAGACUCCUACGGGAGGCAGCAGUGGGGAAUUUUGGACAAUGGGCGCAAGCCUGAUCCAGCCAUUCCGCGUGCAGGAUGAAGGCCUUCGGGUUGUAAACUGUCUUUUGUACGGAACGAAACGGUUCUCUCUAAUACAGGGGGCUAAUGACGGUACCGUAAGAAUAAGCACCGGCUAACUACGUG
rnacentral:rRNA from 1 species